rnacentral:rRNA from 1 species
UACGAAGGGGGCGAGCGUUGUUCGGAAUUACUGGGCGUAAAGGGCGCGCAGGCGGCCUUAGAAGUCAGAUGUGAAAGCCCCGGGCUCAACCUGGGAAUGGCAUUUGAUACUCUGAGGCUGGAGUACGGGAGAGGAGAGUGGAAUUCCCAGUGUAGAGGUGAAAUUCGUAGAUAUUGGGAGGAACACCGGUGGCGAAGGCGGCUCUCUGGACCGUAACUGACGCUGAGGCGCGAAAGCGUGGGGAGCAAACAGG